UGUUCUAGACUCAGUUUUACUUCAAUAUAUAAAGGGCGUCUGAAUUGUUUGUAUUAUAACACUUUUCUAUCAACUGUACGAAAAGUCAUAAAAAGCCAAAAUGAGAGCCGCUCUUUUGAUUUUUGUUCUUGUCUUGACCACUGUUUACGGAUUCUAUCUUCAACCGAAUAUGCCUGGACAGGCUGGAGCCUACCAAAGCAAUGAACAACUCUUCAAAGCUUUGAGCGACUACUUCUAUUCUUUGAGCACUGGAGCUGUUACCGGAGUUGCUGCUACCAGAGGAUAAAUCAGAAUCACAUGUCUUGAUUUCUACCGUUUAGUGUUUGGGCUGAUAUGAUUUCAUGAAAUUAAUUAUCUUAAAUAAAAAAAUCAAAAUAA